AUUGAACGCUGGCGGCAGGCCUAACACAUGCAAGUCGAACGGUAACAGGAAGCAGCUUGCUGCUUCGCUGACGAGUGGCGGACGGGUGAGUAAUGUCUGGGAAACUGCCUGAUGGAGGGGGAUAACUACUGGAAACGGUAGCUAAUACCGCAUAACGUCGCAAGACCAAAGAGGGGGACCUUCGGGCCUCUUGCCAUCGGAUGUGCCCAGAUGGGAUUAGCUAGUAGGUGGGGUAACGGCUCACCUAGGCGACGAUCCCUAGCUGGUCUGAGAGGAUGACCAGCCACACUGGAACUGAGACACGGUCCAGACUCCUACGGGAGGCAGCAGUGGGGAAUAUUGCACAAUGGCGCAAGCCUGAUGCAGCCAUGCCGCGUGUAUGAAGAAGGCCUUCGGGUUGUAAAGUACUUUCAGCGGGGAGGAAGGCGACAGGGUUAAUAACCCUGUCGAUUGACGUUACCCGCAGAAGAAGCACCGGCUAACUCCGUGCCAGCCGCCGCCGUAAAAC
rnacentral:rRNA from 1 species